AAUCCUGGCUCAGGAUGAACGCUAGCUACAGGCUUAACACAUGCAAGUCGAGGGGCAGCAUCAUCAAAGCUUGCUUUGAUGGAUGGCGACCGGCGCACGGGUGAGUAACACGUAUCCAACCUGCCGACAACACUGGGAUAGCCUUUCGAAAGAAAGAUUAAUACCGGAUGGUAUAGUUUUCCCGCAUGGGGUGACUAUUAAAGAAUUUCGGUUGUCGAUGGGGAUGCGUUCCAUUAGGCAGUUGG
rnacentral:rRNA from 1 species